GGAGGAUGCAAGCGUUAUCCGGAAUCAUUGGGCGUAAAGCGUCCGCAGGUGGUGGUUCAAGUCUGCUGUUAAAGACAGAAGCUCAACUUCUGAGAGGCAGUGGAAACUGGGCAACUAGAGUACGGUAGGGGUUGAGGGAAUUCCCAGUGUAGCGGUGAAAUGCGUAGAUAUUGGGAAGAACACCAGUGGCGAAGGCGCUCUACUGGACCGUAACUGACACUCAGGGACGAAAGCUAGGGUAGCGAAAGGGAUUAGAUACUCCUGUAGUCCUAGCCGUAAACGAUGGAUACUAGGCGUUGCUUGUAUCGACCCGAGCAGUGCCGUAGCCAACGCGUUAAGUAUCCCGCCUGGGGAGUACGCACGCAAGUGUG
rnacentral:rRNA from 1 species